GAUGAACGCUGGCGGCGUGCCUAAUACAUGCAAGUCGAGCGAACAGACGAGGAGCUUGCUCCUCUGACGUUAGCGGCGGACGUGUGAGUAACACGUGUAUAACCUCCCUAUAAGACUGGGAUAACUUCGGGAAACCGGAGCUAAUACCGUAUAAUAUAUUGAACCGCAUGGUUCAAUAGUGAAAGACGGUUUUGCUGUCACUUAUAGAUGGAUCCGCGCCGCAUUAGCUAGUUGUUAAGGUAACGGCUUACCAAGGCAACGAUGCGUAGCCGACCUGAGAGGGUGAUCGGCCACACGGGAACUGAGACAGGGUCCAGACUCCUACGGGAGGAAGCAGUAGGGAAUCUUACGCAAUGGGGGAAAGCCUGACGGAGCAAAGGCGCGUGAGUGAUGAAGGUCUUCGGAUCGUAAAACGCUGUUAUGAGGGAAGAACAAAUGUGUACGUAACUAUGCACGUCUUGACGGUACCUAAUCAGAAAGCAACGGCUAACUACGUG
rnacentral:rRNA from 1 species